rnacentral:lncRNA from 1 species
CAAUGAUGAUGAUGGUAAGAGGAGGCUGGGGACCUACCACCAGCACUUAUUAGGGGGACUCUGGGCAAUGGCCAGAAAGCCCACUAAUUUGAGUAAGUCUCUUCAAGCCUUACAGAUUCUUCAGAGUGAGAUCCAGGCUACAAAACAACAGGCUUGAGAAAAAAAACCUUUGCAAUGUUCCAGCCCCAUGGUUUCAAGCCAGGAGACCUGGUCCUGAUAUGCUUGGUUUGCUUGCACCGAGGACUUGACUAAAUACAUUCCCAAAUCAAUCUUGGCUACCCA